AUGCCAGGGAGGGCGUGCCCGCCCGAGGAAGGUCUUUUUGACCCUGCCCAGCGACAGACUGCAGAGUUGACGCCGGCGGGCGCGCUGGGGGGGGAGGCGGGGCCCGUGGUCCAGACAGCGGCGCGGCCCGUCCCUUGGCACGUGCCCGCAGCCCGUCCCUCUGCAGGUGAGGCUGCGGUGGCCCAUCACCCAGCAGGUGCCGGCAGCCCGUGUCCCUCAGCAGGUACGGCGGCCCGUCCCUCGGCAGGUGCGGCUGCAGUGGCCCGUCCCUCAGCAGGGAAAUGCGGCUGCCCAGCUGGGACUGUGCCUCUCAGUUUCCUUUGCAUCUUGCUAGGGUCCUGGGACAAGUUUUCACCAAUGGAGGAUGAGUAGAAGGAGGGUUUCUAAGUACGCUCCAUGACCAACAUGGGGCUUGAACUUACAACCCAAAGAUCGGGAGUCGUGUCCUCUACCACUGAGCCAACGAGGGACCCCCUGGAGGGUUUCUAAGAAGUGGGUGUGCCUUCUUCACUGUGUCUGUGGGCCGACAAUGAUGCUGAAGACCUAGAUAGAAACCUGAAUCCUCUCUCUCAUAGAUAAGGAACAUCUUCUUUGAAUUAUUAUCUGAGUGAGAAACUUCUACUAUGUUAAGCCAUUUUUUAAAGUCUCUGGUUACAGCAGCUAAUGUGACCCCAACACAUACACUGCCGAAGCUACACUCUUCCUCAAGAUUCCUAUUGUAGUCGUCCUUUCCAUGCCAGACCACGAAACUCCUUUAGGACUUUGAUGAAAUCCGUAUAGUGCAGAGCAUGUAAGGUAUUUAGUACAUGCAUGUGAAAUGGAGGAAAAGAGGAGGAAGGGAGGGAGGGAGGAGUGACUGAAUUAAUGUGUAUGCAUUUAAGGUGACUCACUUAUUUUCUUUUAAGCCUUCCAGCUCAACAUGUCCAUCCCUUCCCCACCCUCCAUUAAGUUGUAAAGCCGGGAAAUAUUUUUUCCUUUCUUCAUGGUCUUCCAAAGGUUGAACGCAGAGCCUUGAGAGAAAUCACUGGCCAGAGGAAAGCAAUCCCUUAGAGAAAGCAAUCACCCUAGAGAGCUGGGCCACCGCCAACAUCUCCAUCAGCAACUUGGAAGAGUUGUCUGACUUCCCAACACAAUAAAAAUGGAGACAUGAGCA
rnacentral:lncRNA from 12 species